GCGCACGGCGAGACGCUGUCGUCGAACUCAACUUCCGGCGGCGGCGCAGUGGCAAAUGGAGCAAACGUCCCCGGUUCAUGGGAACGCUGCAAAUUCAACUCCACAUCUCUCUCACUUCCCUUGCCAUGUUCCUCCUCAAGGCAUGGAGAUCGACGGCUUUCGGGGUAUAUGGGUACCUCAAUUUCACCAAGCCCGGCUUCGUCGAACAUGCAAAGAAGUUCAAGUCAGAAGAGAUGGAGGCUCGAAUAGAAGGGAAGAAUUGCAUAGUUACAGGAGCUAAUUCUGGACUUGGUUAUGCUACUGCUGAGGGUCUUGCUUCACGUGGGGCUAAUGUUUAUAUGAUUUGCCGCAACAAGGAGAGAGGAGAAGCUGCCCUCUCUUCGAUAAAAUCUACUACGGGAAACCCGAAUGUGCAUUUGGAGGUAUGUGAUCUUUCGUCUGUCAACGAGAUCAAGUCAUUUGCAUCCAGAUUUUCUUCAAAGGAUUUACCUCUUCAUGUCUUGGUCAACAAUGCUGGCUUGCUUGAGCAAAAGCGGAUCACCACGCCAGAAGGGUUGGAGUUGAACUUUGCGGUGAAUGUAUUAGGAACUUUUGCAAUGACAGAAUUAAUGUUGCCUUUGCUUGAUAAAGCGGCACCUGAUGCUCGAGUCAUCACUGUUUCUUCUGGUGGAAUGUAUACAAGUCCCUUGACCACUGAUCUAGAGUAUAGUGAUGCCAACUUUGAUGGGGUGCAGCAAUAUGCUCGAAACAAGAGAGUUCAGGUAGCGCUAACAGAAAAGUGGGCUGAGGUACACAAGGAGAGAGGGAUCGGCUUCUACUCGAUGCACCCUGGUUGGGCUGAGACACCGGGUGUUGCUAAGAGCUUGCCUGGUUUCUCUAAAUCGCUUUCUGGAAAGCUGAGAACUAAAGAGGAAGGUGCCGACACAAUUAUUUGGUUGGCUUUACAGCCGAAAGACAAAUUGGUCUCUGGUGCAUUCUAUUUCGAUAGAGCACAGGCGCUGAAACACCUCAUGUUUGCAGCUACUGGAGGCUCUCAUACUCACAUUGACUCGAUAAUUGGUAAUCUACGGUCUCUAUCCUGCCUUGCUUGAUGAAGCAGGAGUCAUUUCAAGGAUAUACCCGACCCUAGCUGCAGACUGUGAUUCAAAUUUCAGAAGGCAAGUCUACAAAGUGCAAUUUCUGACUAGGAAUUGAAUUUGGGUUCUGAUGGAGUAUGAAACCAUUGAAGAUGUCUUAGCAAGUUCAUCGUCCAGGUUGCAUUUGAGUUUUGAAUGUACCCAUUAGGUCAUCUAUAAAACCAGGAGAUAACAGCUGCUGAUUCUACUACAUGCCCUCUCUGAUCUAUUUCUCAUCUGUCACAUUGUCGAUGAAAUAAAUCAUUAUAUGUCUGGUGAAAGGCGGCUCUUACUUUUUCUUA